CCUACGGGUGGCUGCAGUCGAGAAUCUUCGGCAAUGGACGAAAGUCUGACCGAGCGACGCCGCGUGCGGGAUGAAGGCCUUCGGGUUGUAAACCGCUGUCGAGGGGGAUUAAGGGCAACUUGAAUGAACCCUGGAGGAAGGAGAGGCUAAGCUCGUGCCAGCAGCCGCGGUAAGACGAGCUCUCCAAACGUUAUUCGGUAUCACUGGGCUUAAAGAGUUCGUAGGCGGCUUUGUAGGUGGGGUGUGAAAGCCCUCGGCUCAACCGAGGAAUUGCG
rnacentral:rRNA from 1 species